AGCACCUUCGGGUGUGAAUUAGCGGCGAACGGGUGAGGAACACGUGAAGAAUCUGCCUUCAACUCUGGGAUAACUCCGGGAAACCGGGGCUAAUACCGGAUAUGAGCCUUGAUCGCAUGAUCGGGGCUGGAAAGUUUUUCGGUUGAAGAUGACUUCGCGGCCUAUCAGCUUGUUGGUGAGGUAAUGGCUCACCAAGGCGACGACGGGUAGCCGGCCUGAGAUGGCGACCGGCCACACUGGGACUGAGACACGGCCCAGACUCCUACGGGAGGCAGCAGUGGGGAAUAUUGGGCAAUGGAGGAAACUCUGACCCAGCGACGCCGCGUGAGGGAUGAAGGCCUUCGGGUUGUAAACCUCUUUCAGUAGGGAAGAAGCGAAAGUGACGGUACCUACAGAAGAAGCACCGGCUAACUAUGUGCCAGCAGCCGCGGUAAUACAUAGGGUGCAAGCGUUGUCCGGAAUUAUUGGGCGUAAAGAGCUCGUAGGUGGUUCGAUACGUCGGAUGUGAAAAUCAGGGGCUCAACCCCUGACCUGCAUCCGAUACGGUCGAGCUAGAGUUUGGUAGGGGAGACUGGAAUUCCUGGUGUAGCGGUGGAAUGCGCAGAUAUCAGGAGGAACACCGAUGGCGAAGGCAGGUCUCUGGGCCAAUACUGACACUGAGGAGCGAAAGCGUGGGGAGCGAACAGGAUUAGAUACCCUGGUAGUCCACGCCGUAAACGGUGGGCGCUAGUUGUGCGA
rnacentral:rRNA from 1 species